rnacentral:lncRNA from 1 species
CAUGAUUUGGUCAUACCAGGCCAAAGACCCGAGAAAGCGCCAUGUUGGAGCGGCUGAUAGUACCGGAUCCUUGAGGUAUGGCUUCCAUGGCGAAUAGGCACCAGUCAAUUAACCGGGUUGGGCCCCUAAGUGUAACCCGCAGGUUGUGAAGCAUAUACCUGGUAUUUUCCUUGAAGACGGACAUCUUGGUCCUCGGGAGGCGGGGCACCGCCUGGACCGAAUAUUCCAUGAAAGACCGGAAACUGGGUUGACUUGGAGUGAGUCAGAUUCAAUAUGUCCAUGUUGAUGGCAAAAUCCAUGCGGGUUUCUCUCAUGUGCAUUUGAGGGAGAGAACCAAUCGUCAACGCCGAGCAGCUCUCAGAG